UACGGGGGGGGGCAAGCGUUGUUCGGAAUUACUGGGCGUAAAGGGCUCGUAGGUGGCCAACUAAGUCAGACGUGAAAUCCCUCGGCUUAACCGGGGAACUGCGUCUGAUACUGGAUGGCUAGAGUUUGGGAGAGGGAUGCGGAAUUCCAGGUGUAGCGGUGAAAUGCGUAGAUAUCUGGAGGAACACCGGUGGCGAAGGCGGCAUCCUGGACCAACACUGACGCUGAGGAGCGAAAGCCAGGGGAGCAACGGG
rnacentral:rRNA from 1 species